rnacentral:sRNA from 1 species
UAGACAAUGUGAUUCCCGACGCUUUGUCU